UUCAAAGUUUAAAAAAGUUCUUUGGAACAUUUUCACCUUUGCUGUAUUGAACUUUCGGGUUUUUCUCUUCUUCUUGGAUACAACGGAUAUUUGAAAAAGUCAUUGAUUUGAAUAAACCAAACAGUGAUAUAGAAGGAGUUCACAUUAUAGCAUGCUUGGUGAAUGCUGUAUACAUAUAUAUAUGAGUGGAUGAUCUUUGCUGGACUUGAAUUUUCAUGAUGACUUUCUUGAUGUUGUGUGACCACACCACAUGAGAGAAAUACUUCAGAGAUGGCCAGAUGACUUCUGAGAGGAGGGACAAAUAUUUUAUAUCUGUUGGUAA